AAUGGGCGAAAGCCUGACGGAGCAACGCCGUGUGAGGGACGAAGGCCUCUGGGCUGUAAACCUCUUUUCUCAAGGAAGAAGAUAUGACGGUACUUGAGGAAUAAGCCACGGCUAAUUCCGUGCCAGCAGCCGCGGUAAUACGGGAGUGGCAAGCGUUAUCCGGAAUUAUUGGGCGUAAAGCGUCCGCAGGCGGCCUUUCAAGUCUGCUGUUAAAGCGUGGAGCUUAACUCCAUUAUGGCAGUGGAAACUGAUCGGCUUGAGUAUGGUAGGGGCAGAGGGAAUUCCCGGUGUAGCGGUGAAAUGCGUAGAUAUCGGGAAGAACACCAGUGGCGAAGGCGCUCUGCUGGGCCAUUACUGACGCUCAUGGACGAAAGCCAGGGGAGCGAAAGGGAUU
rnacentral:rRNA from 1 species